rnacentral:misc_RNA from 1 species
CGUAUCUAAUGACGUCAUAAUACGCCCUUGUAAAACGGUAUGCGAGGACAGCCUUGUAACCACCUCCAAUAUCCGAUAUCUUACCAGUGGAUAAUGCCGCAGUCUCCGCCGGGUAAUGGUGCGGCAUCAGCAGUACAAGAAGACCCAGGUCCGCUCUGCUACAUUUUGAAACCAUCACUAACACGGACCUACACACCAGAGGCAGCAGCAACAACAGCAGCAGCAACAACAACAGCAGCAGCAGUCUGCAAGCAAGCGCAGCCAAAACCUCAUUCAGGACUGCCAACGUGUGACUUGGCGAAACAAGAACCAAUGGCAAUGAGCAGAAACUGUGUUCAAUCAAAAUCACACUCAGAGCUAGAAUUAUUGAUGCAGCCAGAUUUAGAGCCAGAUGCCAUAAACUCUAAGAGAUGCUGGCAGAAAAUAGACUCGGCAACGAGGCGGAUAUCAUACAGUUGGGUGCAUCCCGAGCAGGAGCCCAAGGAGAUAAUGCACAGCGGGGUGACUUGCGAGUGCGAGCUAUGUACAUCGGCGAUACAUUUCAGUUGGGUGGACCCAAAGACUGUAACCUACUGCCUGUCUAAGCGGAGACCCGACACAUCGGAGAGCAGCUCUUGCAAAUACUGAAACAGAACUCGUGUUGGGUUAUUAUGAACAUUGGGUUUUGUUUGUUUUUUCUGUGUUUUUUUUAUUUUAUUUUUAAUUUGGAGAAUCGUGUCAGUAUACCACAACAUUUGUUGUACGUUGUUGGUUUUUAAUUUCUUCAAUCGUGUCAAGUAAUUAUGAACAGUAUACCAUAACAUUGUGUUUGUUGUUGUUUUUCUACAUUGUUGUUGUGGUUUUUUAUUUCUU